rnacentral:rRNA from 1 species
UACGUAGGGUGCAAGCGUUGUCCGGAAUUAUUGGGCGUAAAGAGCUCGUAGGCGGUCUGUCGCGUCUGCUGUGAAAACUCAGGGCUUAACCCUGAGCUUGCAGUGGGUACGGGCAGACUAGAGUGCGGUAGGGGAGACUGGAAUUCCUGGUGUAGCGGUGAAAUGCGCAGAUAUCAGGAGGAACACCGGUGGCGAAGGCGGGUCUCUGGGCCGUAACUGACGCUGGAGGAGCGAAAGCAUUGGGAGCGAACAGG